rnacentral:rRNA from 1 species
GACGAACCGUGCGAACGUUGUUCGGAAUCACUGGGCUUAAAGGGCGCGUAGGCGGCAGAUCAAGUCCGGGGUGAAAGCCCCCAGCUUAACUGGGGAAGUGCCUUGGAAACUGAUGUGCUUGAGGGAGGUAGGGGUCGAGGGAACUUCUGGUGGAGCGGUGAAAUGCGUUGAUAUCAGAAGGAACGCCGGUGGCGAAAGCGCUCGACUGGACCUUUUCUGACGCUGAAGCGCGAAAGCUAGGGGAGCAAACGGG